UUUUCACUGUUUUCAUCCAGGAACGCACAAUAACCGGGACGUCAGAGGAUUCGUUAUUCACACUAAUACUGACAGGUUAUCCACAAUGGCGAAACAUAACUUCAGCCUUCUGAUUGCUCUGGUGCUGUCACUGAUUGUCUUCAUCGUCACUCUAGUCUUUAAUGCUCUGGCAGGGCCGGGAAUAUAUCCAUUUUUGCGGAGCACCGCUAACAUUUCCGAUGAGUUUGUGACCCAGAUCACACCCUCAGGAUGGACCUUUGCCAUUUGGUCAAUCAUUUACAUCUUCCUGGCUUUAGUGGUGGUUUACAUCUUAUCUGGCAUCUG